UACGUAGGGUGCAAGCGUUAAUCGGAAUUACUGGGCGUAAAGCGUGCGCAGGCGGUUUUGUAAGUCUGACGUGAAAUCCCCGGGCUCAACCUGGGAAUUGCGUUGGAGACUGCAAGGCUGGAGUCUGGCAGAGGGGGGUAGAAUUCCACGUGUAGCAGUGAAAUGCGUAGAGAUGUGGAGGAAUACCGAUGGCGAAGGCAGCCCCCUGGGAUAAUACUGACGCUCAUGCACGAAAGCGUGGGGAGCAAACAGG
rnacentral:rRNA from 1 species